rnacentral:lncRNA from 10 species
UAAAAUUAAAUAGGUAUCUUUACUACAGGACUUUUCUGAGCAUUUAAUAUGCUAAUGUGCAUGAUUAUGGCUUGGAGCCUCAAAUCACUUUGUGAUUCAAGAUGGCAACUGGAAGAAAGAGGAGAUAACAAAAAGGGCCACCAGACCCCAGGUAGAACUCUGCUCACAUUCCUCCUUCCAAGCUACACCUAAGCCUAGGCCUAGGCCUCUGAUGGAGUUUCACCAAGCAACGAGCAUGGAAAGGAGUGCAACUAGUUUGCAAACCUUUAUGAUGUGGAUGAGGCAUGAUUCGGACAACAAACACAGGAAGACAACCUCUCAUGGGAAAGGCCAUCCUUAGCCUGAUGUCCAAGACAAUAGAGAUUCU